AUUCAGUUGACGAGUCUCAAAUCGGAUGAAACACGCGUCCUGUAU
rnacentral:hammerhead_ribozyme from 1 species